GGCGUGGUGUAGUGGUUUGAGCAUUGUACUACGGCUCUGGAGAACAGGGUUCGAAUCCCUGCUCAGCCA
rnacentral:tRNA from 1 species